UGGGCCUAUAGCUCAGGUGGUUAGAGCGCACGCCUGAUAAGCGUGAGGUCGCUGGUUCGAGUCCAGCUAGGCCCACCAA
rnacentral:tRNA from 1 species